AGAACGAACGCUGGCGGCAGGCUUAACACAUGCAAGUCGAGCGGGCGUAGCAAUACGUCAGCGGCAGACGGGUGAGUAACGCGUGGGAACGUACCUUUUGGUUCGGAACAACCCAGGGAAACUUGGGCUAAUACCGGAUAAGCCCUUACGGGGAAAGAUUUAUCGCCGAAAGAUCGGCCCGCGUCUGAUUAGCUAGUUGGUGAGGUAAUGGCUCACCAAGGCGACGAUCAGUAGCUGGUCUGAGAGGAUGAUCAGCCACAUUGGGACUGAGACACGGCCCAAACUCCUACGGGAGGCAGCAGUGGGGAAUAUUGGACAAUGGGCGCAAGCCUGAUCCAGCCAUGCCGCGUGAGUGAUGAAGGCCCUAGGGUUGUAAAGCUCUUUUGUGCGGGAAGAUAAUGACGGUACCGCAAGAAUAAGCCCCGGCUAACUUCGCGCCAGCAGCCGC
rnacentral:rRNA from 1 species